rnacentral:rRNA from 1 species
UACGGAGGGUGCAAGCGUUGUCCGGAUUUAUUGGGUUUAAAGGGUGCGUAGGCGGCCCGUUAAGUCAGCGGUGAAAUCCCGGGGCUCAACCCCGGAACUGCCGUUGAUACUGGCGGGCUUGAGUUCGAUGAAGGCGGGCGGAACUGGCGGUGUAGCGGUGAAAUGCUUAGAUACCGCCAAGAACCCCGAUUGCGUAGGCAGCUCGCUGUGCCGAAACUGACGCUGAGGCACGAAAGCGUGGGGAGCGAACAGG